rnacentral:lncRNA from 1 species
GAGCUUGGCCGUCCGGGCUCCGCAUUAUUUCGGGGAUGUCGUUGUCUUCCUAACCGAUGUCGAAAGUCUUUUUAGCGGCCGGAGGUGUUCGGUAGGAACUCUCCGUUUCAGUUGGGACGAAGUCCUUUAGGUCUUUUGGUGUGGUUCAUCCUUCGUCCGUUCCCGCCGUAGUUCGUCAUCCUUCCUUUUUAAUUUUCCUCCUCUUCUCGGAGUGGAGGCCUUCUCCCGCUUUUCGUGGGGUUGCACAGGAGCGAGGAAGUGCCAAUGAGGGGCUUUUUCUUUUCACCCGAUCUUGUUGGGCGGCCGGGCUUCGCCACCAUCAGCUCUUGCUGCAGAUGUCAUGGGUGGAACCCGGCUCUCGUAGGAGUCCGGGUGGAAUCUUUCUUGGUGUCGUGGAUGGAAUCCGGCUCCCGUAGGAGUCCGGGUGAAGUCUUCCUUG